GGUUGUGGCUCAGUGGUAGAGUGCUUGCCUGGCAUGUAUGAAGCCCUGGGUUCAAUUCUCAGCACCG
rnacentral:tRNA from 1 species